AUUGAACGCUGGCGGCAUGCUUUACAUAUGCAAGUCGAACGGCAGCGCGGGCUUCGGCCUGGCGGCGAGUGGCGAACGGGUGAGUAGUACAUCGGAACGUGCCCAGUAGUGGGGGAUAGCUCGGCGAAAGCCGGAUUAAUACCGCAUACGACCUGAGGGUGAAAGCGGGGGAUCUUCGGACCUCGCGCUAUUGGAGCGGCCGAUGGCAGAUUAGCUAGUUGGUGGGGUAAAGGCCUACCAAGGCGACGAUCUGUAGCUGGUCUGAGAGGACGACCAGCCACACUGGGCCUGAGACACGGCCCGGACUCCUACGGGAGGCAGCGGUGGGGAAUUUUGGCCAAUGGGCGAAAGCCUGUUCCAGCAAGGCGGCGUGUGUGAUGAAGGCCUUCGGGUUGUAAGCACUUUUGGCGGGAACGAAAAGGACUGUGCCAAUACCACGGUUCGAUGACGGUACCCGCAGAAUAAGCACCGGCUAACUACGUG
rnacentral:rRNA from 1 species